rnacentral:rRNA from 1 species
CCUACGGGUGACAGCAGUGAGGAAUAUUGGUCAAUGGACGAGAGUCUGAACCAGCCAAGUAGCGUGAAGGAUGACUGCCCUAUGGGUUGUAAACUUCUUUUAUAUGGGAAUAAAAUGUUCCACGUGUGGGAUUUUGUAUGUACCAUAUGAAUAAGGAUCGGCUAACUCCGUGCCAGCAGCCGCGGUGAUACGGAGGAUCCGAGCGUUAUCCGGAUUUAUUGGGUUUAAAGGGAGCGUAGGUGGAUUGUUAAGUCAGUUGUGAAAGUUUGCGGCUCAACCGUAAAAUUGCAGUUGAAACUGGCAGUCUUGAGUACAGUAGAGGUGGGCGGAAUUCGUGGUGUAGCGGUGAAAUGCUUAGAUAUCACGAAGAACUCCGAUUGCGAAGGCAGUUCACUGGACUGCAACUGACACUGAGGCUCGAAAGUGUGGGUAUCAAACAGGAUUAGAUACCCUGGUAGUC